rnacentral:rRNA from 1 species
GAUGAACGCUAGCGGCAGGCUUAAUACAUGCAAGUCGAGGGGCAGCACGGGUAGCAAUACCUGGUGGCGACCGGCAAACGGGUGCGGAACACGUACGCAACCUUCCCAUAACUGGUGAAUAGCCUUCCGAAAGGGAGAUUAAUACACCGUAACAUAACGAAGUGGCAUCACUUUGUUAUUAUAGGCUUCGGCCGGUUUUGGAUGGGCGUGCGCCUGAUUAGGUAGUU